GGACGCCGGACACCCCUCCCGCGCCGUCCUCGGUGCCGCGCCCCCUGCCGGCCACCGCGCUGCGCCUCCCGGGGCCGUGGCGCGCUGGCGCCGGGGGCGAGCAGGCCCCCAAGGGACCCUCGCUCUGCGCCCCCCCCCCCGCGCCGGGUCCCCCAGAUGCUUCCACGACCGCGCACCAGGGCCAGACUGCAGUGCGUGACUCCACACGGUGAAAUCUGUUUCCAGGAGAAAGGGGAAGCUUCAGGAAAGUCUGGGACAGUCCCGGGCCACACCUUCAGGCAGUUUGUUCCCCUGGGACUUCCACAUGCUGAUCCUAUUGUGAAAAUGAGUGGUUCCUGAAGCAAUUAGCCUCUAAGAUAGAAUAACGCCCAUUAGCUUUAUUGUGUUAUAGAAGUUUAAUGCUAUUCAAGUCUUUGCCUGCGUUUCAACCCAGCAAAACAAAGCCCAUGAGCUUUGUAAGUGCCACCUGCCACAGCGCCCUGUGACCCUGAAACUCCCCGCGCUGCAGAGCAUCGCGCGCUAACGUGGGUUGGGGACCACACUCUGCAACUUCGUCACUGGCAUGUGCACAGAUGGGCAGGAGGAAUCAGGCUGUGCUCCCCACGAGGGCAGCUAACAUCAGUCACGUGCAAUGCUAUUAUGAUGCCAUUGACCGCACUCCCGACGCUGUGCCUUCCAUCCCCGCGCCGCACCAUCUCUGAGCUGAUCUUUAAGAAGAUACUUACCUUGACAACUGUCCCACGCUUGGGAUGGCUAGAGGGUUUUCCUCCCAUAAAGGACUCCCCUGACGGAAAUAAAGGAAGAGGUAUGAUUAA